rnacentral:rRNA from 1 species
AUUGAACGCUGGCGGCAUGCUUUACACAUGCAAGUCGAACGGUAACAGGCCGCAAGGUGCUGACGAGUGGCGAACGGGUGAGUAAUGCAUCGGAACGUGCCCGGUCGUGGGGGAUAACGCAGCGAAAGCUGCGCUAAUACCGCAUACGAUCUGAGGAUGAAAGCGGGGGACCGUAAGGCCUCGCGCGAUCGGAGCGGCCGAUGUCAGAUUAGGUAGUUGGUGGGGUAAAGGCUCACCAAGCCAACGAUCUGUAGCUGGUCUGAGAGGACGACCAGCCACACUGGGACUGAGACACGGCCCAGACUCCUACGGGAGGCAGCAGUGGGGAAUUUUGGACAAUGGGCGAAAGCCUGAUCCAGCAAUGCCGCGUGCAGGAAGAAGGCCUUCGGGUUGUAAACUGCUUUUGUACGGAGCGAAAAGGUCUCCUCUAAUACAGGGGGCUCAUGACGGUACCGUAAGAAUAAGCACCGGCUAACUACGUGCCAGCCGCCGCCGUAAGAC